ACACUAUUGGAGUGUACAAAUAGUAUUUUUGCGAUAAUUGUCUAUUUACUUUUCAAAUUUUAAAAAAUAUUUAAUUUAUUUUUUUUUGUUUCAAAUAUAUUCCUUCGUUAUUCAAAAAUACCUCCGCAGUUAUCACCUGUUAAGUUAUUUCGUAUUGAACGUGAGUUAACUAUCUACCUGAGUUAAAAAAAAAAAUCGAAAUAUCUCUUUUGCCCUUAACUUAAAGGCAAAUAAAAGAAGUUGGUGAUUGUAGAAGGGUAUAUUCAAAAUAUCUUUUCUGCUCCCAACUUAAGUGCAAAUAAGAAAAGUUGGUAAUAGUAGAAGAUUAUAUUUGAAACGACAAAAUAGUAUUUCACAGAGAUAAUGGCCAUUGCUAAAAGAAUUUAACUUUAAGAGUAUAUUUGAAAUAACUUGGAACGUUAAAAGAAUAUUUUUAAUAUUAGCCUUUUAAGAAGAGUAAAUUAAAAAAUUAAAAAAUUUUCAGGAAUAUAUAAGCAAUUGCCCCUGUAAUUUUUUUUUUAUGACGGAUAACACAAUCUUACUUAUUUUGGGAUGGUGUUUUGUUAUUAAAAUAAAAGACUAUUUUUUAUUUAAGUUCGGUCCUUUUUUUCUCAAAAAGUGAACUUAACUUAAAAUAUAAAACAACUUGAGAUUUCGAAUAUUAACUAUUAAGUUUUUUUGCCACUUGUGCUAGUUACAAACGGUAAACCAUCUUUUUUUC
rnacentral:lncRNA from 1 species